UCCUCUCCUCCCCAAUCCUCGUCUCUCCUCCCCAACCGUGGCGGCGCGCCCGUUCCUCCAGUCUUCUGCAAGAGCACGUCGCGGAGGCGGCCGGCAGCGCAGGCCCGGGAGCAGCCGCGGGACGCUGGAGCACCGGCAGCGACGGUCACGGCCGGUCGUGGGUGUCGCCGCGUGGAUGCCGCGUCGGUCGUCGCCGCCGCGGCUCCUCCAGGUGACAGCCGGUCGCGUCCGUCGUCGUGCGAUGAGGAGGUGGGCGGGCGCCGCCUCGGGUCGACGCCGCCGUCGCGGCUCCUCCACACCAUGGCCGACGUAUGCUCGGCGGCGGCCUCCGACGAAACCCUAGCCGGGAGUGUUCCCAGCCGAGGAAGACCGAAGACAAGGCCACGACGGGGGAAGAGAUGAACUGUGGAUUCGUGCCCACACAGUUGGGACUAGAAAGGGAUGGAUCAUCUUCCACGCCAGGAGAAGUCAUCCUCCUCCUCCCUCCUCUUCCAAGAUGGUUGCUGCAGCAACUCUUCACCUCGACCGCACACUAUUUGUUUACAGUACGACGAGGGCUUGGGGCAGCAAAGAGUUGUAAUCGGUGGGCAGGAUGCCACACUGACGAACAUGCUUGUGGUGGUUACCCAGAUCCCCAACAAUGCUUGUGGACUUGUGUCCCAGCUUCCUUGUGGAUGACCUCACAAUCUGCAGCACUACCUAGCGACGACGAGGACGGCUGAUGCCAAGUUGCCGAUGUGAGGCUUUCCCAAUCCCCCUAUCUAUCCAGUGGUAUAUUCAUCAAUAGUUUUUUUUGGGUGAUGUGCUCUAUGGAGAAGUCUGCCAGUGAGCAGUUUGUAUUUGUUGCUGAUGGCGCAAAAGAAGUGACUCCUAAUGAUGACCAGGAGGGCCAAUCUGAUUUCAGGUCCAGCAUCUUCGAUGCCAAGGCUGGGAUUUCUUUGGGACAGACUGAGCAUGGGUGAAAGCAAGGUAUCUGUAAUAAUUCAGUUGGCAUGGACAUGAGCAUCUUGAGCCUACUUUCACUCCCACAAAUGGUUGCUUUGGAUAUUAAGAUGCCACUUUUAUUUCGUCACUCAUGCAUUGUUUUGCAUUCAGCAUUACCUGCUAGAUAAUAUUACCAUGCCUAUUAUUAAUGUGUCAUAAAGACAAACACUUCACCAGCUAAACCACUUGCCAUGUGGUUAAUAUUUACGGUUUGGCCUUCAGAAAUUUCAAAUGGGAAUGGUCUCCAAAUUUUAAGAAAAGUUUGUUUGGGAGCAGUCAUUUAUUUAUUUGUUAUUAUUCACUACAUUAUCAAGUAAGCUGGUUGUGAAAUUUACAUUGACUUCUUGUGCUGAUCUGAUGUAGGUAUUAUUAGUCAUUUACUCUGUUUAUGUUGCCUUUCGGCUCCACAAUUGACCUGAUUUAGAGUUCAUCCAGAAUUUCAUUAUAUUACCGAAGAAUGUGCCUCUGAACAUAGUUUCAGCAGUAGUGCCACUUGGAGAGAGCAGCAUUAUUUGUUUACUCAUCCAAUGAAGGUCUUGCAGCAUGACCAGUAUUAUGGUCAGUUGUCGAGUGCAACAUCCUCCAGUUAUUAUUUAGUUUCACAUCAGAAAGUCAGUUUCCUCCGUGCAUUGAUGCAUAUGCACACAAAGAUAUGUCAGGUUUUCGGGUCUCCAUUUGAUUAUGGUUCCACCUCUGCCAGUGUCAUUUGUUGUGACAGGAGCCCGCAGCGUGUGCCUUUUACCUACAUAUCUCUCUACAUAUUUAUGAUGGGUGAAGGGACGUCUUCUCAAGCCCACUCCCGUCUGUUUGGUUGCUAGAAGAUUUAGGUUCACUCGUGGCAAGUAAAAUACCAAGAUUUUCGUUGGAAGGUGAAUUUUUUGAACCUCUACAGUGUGCAGCACUAGACAAAUCAACUUUUGGAUUUACUAUGUACUGUGAAUUAUUCGGAGGCUAUAAAUCAGGCAUAUAUGAUUCUUUUUUCUUCUGGUAAUGUAAGAUGCACAUCUUCCCCCUUGCGUUUUUUACCUGUAACCCUAUUUUUGGUCAGUAUAAAUAUAUUGGAAGUUACAGUCUUAGUGGUGGCCUGAUUGCAGGUCUAAUAUCUUGUGUGAACAAAUAAGUCACAUGAUUUCUCCGCUUGUGUAAUUCCAUUUUCUCAUGGCUUCUCCCAUUCAACAGGUUACUAGCAUUGAAUCUUUACAUUGUUUGGCCAAAUUGAGAAGUGAACUUGGACUAAUAACUUUCAUGUAUAUGCGUAUUUUUCAUGGGUAGAGCUCUUAUUAUGAUGAAAAUAGCAAUAGGUUGCAAUAUAGGUUCAGCGACUUCCUUUGUCGCUUUUCCCAUUGAUGCAUACACAUGUACUUGAUCUGGUAAUGAGAUUCUCUGUUGGGUUUAAAAUUUACUGCUUUAGAAUUUCUCGCAUGGGAUUCAAGAUGUUGCACAUGGCAAGUAAAAUACCAAGAUUUUCACUGGAAGGUGAAUUUUUUGAACCUCUACAGUGUGCAGCACUAGACAAAUCAACUUUUGGAUUUACUAUAUACUGUGAAUUAUUCGGAGGCUAUAAAUCAGGCAUAUAGGAUUCUUUUUUCUUCUGGUAAUGUAAGAUGCACUUCUUCUUCCAUUUAUCCAAAUUCUGGUAAUGCGUAUUUUUUAUAUGUAUUUUUUUGCCUUCAUAUCAUGUCUGUUAGAACUAUAUAGCUUCAGUUGGAUAUAGCAUUCAGAACAUCACCCCUUGCCUUGGAUUUCUGAAUCUUUUCAAAGGACAUGUUUUUUUAAAAAUAUGCAUGCUUUUGUCAUAGAAUUGGUAAGCAAUUUAGAUAGAUAUGUUGAUCCUGUUGUUACUAGCCUUUCUUGUAAUGUUGUCGAUUCUCUUGCAGAUCAGCUAUGAUGUAUCUGUCAAGGGCCCAAAGAAGUAGUGAAUCAGAGGGACAAGAGGGCGAGGAUGCUGUUAACACAGAAAACAAAGAGGAAUAUCAAUGUGUGGAGGAAGCAUCAUCACCGCUGUCCCUCGCUUGCCGUCUUCCAACGCCAGGGAUGAUACAUAUAUCUCUACAAAUAUUGUGCAUAUGUUUUAGUGCCUAUACAAGAGUACCCAACUUAUAUAUUGCUAACU